rnacentral:rRNA from 1 species
AUUGAACGCUGGCGGCAGGCCUAACACAUGCAAGUCGAGCGGAUGAAGGGAGCUUGCUCCUGGAUUCAGCGGCGGACGGGUGAGUAAUGCCUAGGAAUCUGCCUGGUAGUGGGGGGUAACGUCCGGAAACGGGCGCUAAUACCGCAUACGUCCUGAGGGAGAAAGUGGGGGAUCUUCGGACCUCACGCUAUCAGAUGAGCCUAGGUCGGAUUAGCUAGUUGGUGGGGUAAAGGCCUACCAAGGCGACGAUCCGUAACUGGUCUGAGAGGAUGAUCAGUCACACUGGAACUGAGACACGGUCCAGACUCCUACGGGAGGCAGCAGUGGGGAAUAUUGGACAAUGGGCGAAAGCCUGAUCCAGCCAUGCCGCGUGUGUGAAGAAGGUCUUCGGAUUGUAAAGCACUUUAAGUUGGGAGGAAGGGCAGUAAGUUAAUACCUUGCUGUUUUGACGUUACCAACAGAAUAAGCACCGGCUAACCUCGUG